rnacentral:rRNA from 1 species
UACGUAGGGGGCGAGCGUUGUCCGGAUUUAUUGGGCGUAAAGAGCGUGUAGGCGGCCAUACAGGUCCGUUGUGAAAACUGGAGGCUUAACCUCCAGACGUCGAUGGAAACCGUAUGGCUAGAGUCCGGAAGAGGAGAGUGGAAUUCCUGGUGUAGCGGUGAAAUGCGCAGAUAUCAGGAAGAACACCCGUGGCGAAGGCGGCUCUCUGGGACGGUACUGACGCUGAGACGCGAAAGCCAGGGGAGCGAACGGG